rnacentral:rRNA from 1 species
AUUGAACGCUGGCGGCAUGCUUUACACAUGCAAGUCGAACGGCAGCACGGGCUUCGGCCUGGUGGCGAGUGGCGAACGGGUGAGUAAUAUAUCGGAACGUACCCAGAAGUGGGGGAUAACGUAGCGAAAGUUACGCUAAUACCGCAUACGAUCUAUUGAUGAAAGCAGGGGACCGCAAGGCCUUGUGCUCCUGGAGCGGCCGAUAUCUGAUUAGCUAGUUGGUGAGGUAAAGGCUCACCAAGGCGACGAUCAGUAGCUGGUCUGAGAGGACGACCAGCCAGACUGGAACUGAGACACGGUCCAGACUCCGACGGGAGGCAGCAGUGGGGAAUUUUGGACAAUGGGCGCAAGCCUGAUCCAGCAAUGCCGCGUGAGUGAAGAAGGCCUUCGGGUUGUAAAGCUCUUUUGUCAGGGAAGAAACGGUAGAGGCUAAUAUCCUUUGCUAAUGACGGUACCUGAAGAAUAAGCACCGGCUAACUACGUG